rnacentral:rRNA from 1 species
UACGAACUGUGCAAACGUUAUUCGGAUUCACUGGGCUUAAAGGGUGCGUAGGCGGCCAUGUAAGUAGGGUGUGAAAUCCCCCGGCUUAACCGGGGAACUGCGCCCUAAACUGUAUGGCUGGAGUGAGAUAGGGGUGUGUGGAACUUCCGGUGGAGCGGUGAAAUGCGUAGAUAUCGGAAGGAACGCCGGUGGCGAAAGCGAUCCGCUGGACCUCUUCUGACGCUGAGGCGCGAAAGCCAGGGGAGCAAACGGG